rnacentral:misc_RNA from 1 species
GUCAGUUGUCUCAUCUUCUACAACAUGGUAAGAAGUGCAACGCUGUAGUCCUGCUCUUCGUGGGUGCUUUUGCCGCCACUGCCGGCGCAGAGAUUAAACGCCCAGGCCAGGACGGACAUGGCAUUCGUCUUGAUGGCCCCAGUGGAGGUUUUAAUGGUGCAGGAAUUCGCCAAAAACCAGGUGGAAAUGGCCAUGGCAUUCGUCUUGAUGGCCCCAGUGGAGGUUUUAAUGGUGCAGGAAUUCGUCAAAUACCAGGUGGAAAUGACCAUGGCACUCGUUACGGCACAGGUGGAGGUUUUAAUGGUGCAGGAAUUCGUCAAAGACCAGGUGGAAAUGGCCAUGGCAUUCGUCUUGACGGCCCCGGUGUAGGUUUUAAUGGUGCAGGAAUUCGUCAAAGACCAGGUGGAAAUGGCCAUGGCACUCGUUACGGCACAGGUGGAGGUUUUAAUGGUGCAGGAAUUCGUCAAAGACCAGGUGGAAAUGGCCAUGGCACUCGUUACGGCACAGGUGGAGGCUUUAAUGGUGCAGGAAUUCGUCAGAAAGUUUAAAACACGUUAACUGGAGAACCUGUCUGCUGGAGUCGAUCUGUUGGCAAUAUGCUGUGUGAAGCCUCUGCCGAUGACAACACUUCCUAACUCCAGACCCAAUGCAACCUUCUCUUAUUAUUAUGACCAAGUUUGUUAUACUGAUGAAAAUAUGUUCUUCCAUAAUUAUAGAGAAAUAUUUACUUAAGACUCCGACCAGUUGUGUUGUUGUCGUUUAGAUAUGCUGGCCGUGAACACCUGACAUGGCUUGGUGGUAGAAUACUAGUGUAAGUCGUUACAACUCUGAUGAGUGUUUUUACUAAAGCUGGUUAGCAAUUUGAAAAUAAAGAUUUACAGUGAGAACAAAAUACACAUAACAGCAAACUAAAUGUUAUAAUAUUGACGUAAUGUACAGUAUAAUCAAUGCGAAUGUUUUCAGAUCCAGCAUUUGAUCACAUAACUGUAUACUAUGUAUGACCACCACUCUUAUGUAGAAAUUAUAUCACAUGAAAAUAAAAUUUAUUAGAUGUUGAAAUAACAUUAAACUUGAAAACAUU